rnacentral:tRNA from 1 species
GCCCGACUAACUCAGUCGGUAGAGAACGAGAUUCUUAAUUUCGGAGUCGUGGGUUUGAGCCCCACGUUGGGCG